AUUAUUCUUCAUCAUGUAGUACUGUCAAAUAGCCUUUGCAAUUUUCUCUGACUUAAGUUAAUCUCUUACUGUUCAGGAAUUCAAUGGAUUUUAAGCCAUUGGAGUUCUUCUAAAAACAAAAACAAGGAAGGAACAUAGUACGACAAGUGCUGGAACUUUAUUCAACCGUAUCAUACUUCCAUGCUGGGUGUUCUUUUUGCUGCUGCAAUGUACUCUGUGUGUGUGUGUGCGCGCGCGCGCGCGUGUGUAAAUGGGCCCAUGAUGGAGCUCUUUGUAACACGCUUGAAGCUGCAUGCAGUGCUGCUCUGAUGGUUUUCGAGGGCACAUGAUCAUCUGGUUCUUAAUCAGUCUUGCCAGUCCUUCUGGGAAAAGUUCGGACAUUUCAAAACUUUUUGGUUAACGCUUCUUGUUUGAUCCAGUUGUAAUGAUUAUAUUGGCUCUCACACUAGAACAUGAAAGCACGUUGGUUUUGAGAAAGUAACGAUAUAAAUUAACUAUCUCAAAAAUAAUGAUUGAAAUAUUCGAAUAACUGAGAUGCAAA